UGGGAUUAAAAGUGUGUACUACCAAGCCC
rnacentral:piRNA from 1 species